GGCAGGAAUCCCGGGCUGGGAUGGGCAGGAAUCCCGGGCUGGGAUGAGCAGGAAUCCCGGGCUGGGAUGAGCAGGAAUCCCGGGCAGGGCUGAGCUGUGUCAGACGCUCCGGUGGCAGCCGGAGCUGCGGGCGGUCCCGCAGGGGCUGCGGGGCUCCAGCGCAGCACAGACCCAGAGCAGCGCCGGGGCAGUGCCGGCCCCGCUCCAGCAGCGCAGGAAAAGCGAGCUCAGGAUUCCCGGGCACACGAGCAGAUGGUGGAAGGUCCCUAGGACGGGGCUCCGGUGGUGACAGUGAAUUCUCCCCGCAGUCAGGGACAGCUUCACCCUGCUCCUUCCCAUGCCAAGAGUGAGAGCAGCAGUCCCCAGCCCCGUCCUUUACCUGCCCCCAAAAUCUCACGGCAUCUUUCCCCUCCGAGAGAAACCCCCAGAGACAAAAGAAGUGUAGCCAGGUGCUACAUGCCCUUCCUUUCCCUUCCUUUCCCUUCCUUUCCCUUCCAUUCCCUUCCUUUCCCUUCCAUUCCCUUCCUUUCCCUUCCUUUCCCUUCCUUUCCCUUCCUUUCCCUUCCUUUCCCUUCCUUUCCCUUCCUUUCCCUUCCUUUCCCUUCCUUUCCCUUCCUUUCCCUUCCUUUCCCUUCCUUUCCCUUCCUUUCCCUUCCUUUCCCUUCCUUUCCCUUCCUUUCCCUUCCUUUCCCUUCCUUUCCCUUCCUUUCCCUUCCUUUCCCUUCCUUUCCCUUCCUUUCCCUUCCUUUCCCUUCCUUUCCCUUCCUUUCCCUUCCUUAAGUACCCGUAAGUACUCAGUAGUUAGUUUGCCAGCAACUUAUGGGAAAAAAUUCUAUAAGCAAAAAAGGAAGAAAUCUAACCCCCAGCAAUGAUAUAUCUGCUUCUCAAUUAUUUACUAAUAAAAAUCUAAAAUUUUCCAUAUUGAAAGCUGCAUAAGCAAUGAAGCACAGGUAUCUUCUUGUUUGGCAGCACAAUUUUUUCAGCAAGGUUCAACAAACUGAAAGCAGGACAAGAGAGGAAUAGUAAUUAUAGAAUCCUGAGAAGAAUUAAUUUAUAGCAGAUAUUACCAGGCAAUUCUGAUGUUGGAAAAAACAAACUGAGAUGCACCUAUGUGAUGCUUUCAAAUACAGAAAAUGCUGCUCAGCAUUCAUAUUAGAAAUUAUCAAUUCAGAAUCCUUGUCAUCUAAGGGAAAGGAUGUGUGAAAUGCUGUCCUAGAGAGCUCUUUGGUUCUGGCUUUUUCUCCAUGGGAGUGCUGAUCCAUGGAAACCUAAAGCCCUCAGCCAGCUCCUUCUCUGAAAAAUACUUAAUUUAUGAAUUCUCAAAAAAAUUGCUUUGUAGCCAAGGUGUUCUGCUAUUUAUUGUUUAUUUAAAACUGUUUGUUGGCAGUUUCUAUGUUGUUUCAUUUUGAGAGGAGCCAGUAUAUUUAGGGUGGAGAUUUAAGCCACACAAGGUGAAAACCAGGGAUGAAGCUUUAGAAGGAAAAAGAACUUGUCAAAGCCUGUAGAGAAGAAGUGAAGAUAAUUAAUCAGACAAAUGGAGAUAGAGAGCAGGUGUGCAGAGGGAAUAGUCUGAUGGAAUAAAAAGGCAGUGGAAUGAAAAUGAAUGUCAGAAGAGGUGAGUCUCUAUUUUAUGCAUUAGAAGCUGUAACAAGAAAAGUUUUCCUCAACAGGCUGAAAUUUUAUUUUUAGAAAAAUAUCCUUAUAAAUAUUAAUCAAAACAUGAGCACUUUAAUUUUUUUAUUGUUAAUUGUUUAUUUAAUAUAAAUAAAUUGAUUCAGUGCUAGCCACCUAAACAGUGAAGAUGAAGCCCCCUCACAAGCUUAUGAAUUCCAGCAAAUGACUGAAACAUAUUAUGCAAAAACAAGUUUCCAUAGUUUGGAUAAGGUAAAUCUGUUAGAGAUACUAAACUGGGAAAAGAGGGAGAAAUGCAGAGCAAGGGCAAAACCAAUUUUCCCUUGAUAUGUUUGUAAAGCAAACAUUUUGCAGUAUUUAGGUCAGCACAGGACACAGUUUAUAAAGUGCAGUGAGAGGAGCAGGGGAGGUUCACUCUCGAGCAGGCAGGGUAAGGUCAGGUCCCUGUUUCUCGGAGCAACAGAGCAGUGUCACCUCCUUCUCCAGGGAGCAGGAUGUGGCUGGCAGCCCAGAGCCCAUCAGAAAUGGAAAUUCACUCACUGCUCUUGCAAAGAGAAGCAACUGCUAUCACUUCCUGCUCAGACAUGGAAAGGAAUCCCUCCCUGGCUCCAGCCUGUUGCUGGAUUGCAGAGUUUGGGGUCCUGCCUGCACUUUUUCCCUUCUCAGGGCAGCACUGGAGGGGUUUGUUGUUCCCUGGAGGCCAGAGGGCUGGGGAGGGAUGAGCACACCCAGAAGGGUUUGCUUUCUCAGAUGAUCAAAAAGGGAAAUCUGCAGGAAUAACCUAAAAUGAAUAAAAGAAGAGGAAGGAGGGAAACUUGAGCCCUACAGGUUUGCAGAUGGGACCAUCUCAGGUGAUAACAGACCUGAGGGAGUCAUUUGUGGUGCCUGCCCAGAGUGAUGUUCUCAUUCAGAUUCUCCCUUUCAAUUGAUUCAAGUCCUGCCUUCAUCCUAAAAUUUAAACUGACACUAAAUAACAAAAAAAUGUACCUUGAGCCAGGUGAAUGUCGAUAUCUAAUCAUUACAAUCUAAUAUUGUGAUUUUCUGAGCUCACAAAGAUGAUGGCAGAGGCCUGAGAUGGUUCUCUGUGUGUCCCCACCAUGCACAGAAUUUUUAUUUGUAAAAAUACUUGACAUACCAAAUAUCAGAGUGUUCCAAAAAUCUCAAGCCAGCUUUCCGCAUGAGCAAUCAAAGCCUGUGUUCUAGAUAGAAAGGAAAAUAAGUUUUCUGGUUUAGCAUAGGAAGCCAACUGCCAGAGUUAUUGCAAUUAUCAGCCUUUUUUUUUCUUUCUUCUUCCUUUUUUUUUAAGGAAUAUUUUUUAACAAUUUUUUCAAAUAUUAUUUUAAAUUAGAGGAAACAUCAGCAGAGAUUGAUCUGGACUGAAAACUGUCUAAAUUAUUCUGUAUGCAAGCUUAGCUAGGCAGACUCUCUUAAUCCUCUCCUCUGUCCCUGUGGAUCUGAUCAGGAUGCAGUGUCCAGGUCCUUGUUCAGGAAUGAUUUCCUUGGCCCUGAGGGUCACAGCAUCUCAGGAAUUGGUGUCAGGGGGAGCAGGACAGAACUGCCAGACAUGGUUUAGUGUGGCAUUGGCAGUGUUAUGUUUACAAUGGGACUCAGUGAUCUUAAAGGUCUUUUCCAACCUAAUGACUCUGAUUCUAUGUUUAGAUCCAGGUUUAAGGAAAAAAAGAGGGAAGAGGUACAGUGGGAACACAACUGUGAUAUUUGCACAGUUUGCCUUCCCUCAGAAGUUCACUGAGAGUUCUGCAUGGAGAUGACAAAAGAAAGUGGUAACAGCAACCUCCCUUGAGAAACAUGAAUCUGAGGAUUUCACCUAAGAACUACCUCAAGACUGCCCUUCAUGCUGAGCUAAUGGAUGUUUCUCCCAGUGACAACCAAGCUGGAGUGAAAGGCUGAAGAAAUAAAGAAUCUUUUACAGCUCCUGGGACAUGCCAGUCUGCAGAAUUGCUACAAUUGACUCAUUGUUCUGCUGUGUCAGGUCACAGCGUGCUCCCUGCUCAGGGACCGGCGGGAGCGAGGCCGCUCGCUGUGCCCGGGGCCGCAGGGCUGGAGGGUGCCGGGCUGCGGGAGCAGGAGGCUCUGGCGCUGGGGGAGGCCGGCU